GUUUAAGGUACUUUGUUGUUUUAUGCUGUGACUAUCAUAUCUUUAGAACAGAAAUAGUAAUUAUAAAUAAAAUCUAUUUUUUGUUACAUAGUAUUGCGGUUGUGAAGACACUCAAUUAUAUUGAAAUUUUUACUGAAUCUUUUCUAGGACUAAUUUCAUGUCUUACGAACCAGCAGAGAAAUUUUCCCUUAGGGUAUGCCAGAAGAGGAGCAAGUAGUUUUGAUAAUGAAAUGAGACCUUAAAGAAAUAUUUCUAGAGCAGCUAUAAUAAUUUACAUAAGAAAUGAAUUGAGAUGGCCGGAGAAGAGAAUUGUUUUUCCUCUUUGAAUAUCAGUGUUUUGGGUAAUAAUGGCAGCAUUAACCUAAGAGACCGUUCUAAUUUGCCUGUUUUUUCUUGUACAUUAUCAGGAACUAUCUUUUUAAAUCUGUCUUGUGAUCAAAAUAAUGGAAAUGUGAUUUUUAUUUUCAUGGUAGGAGAUGGAAUAAACUGAGACUGCAGGACAAAGAGAAACGUCUGAAGCUGGAGGACGAUUCUGAGGAAAGUGAUGCUGAAUUUGACGAAGGUUUUAAAGUGCCAGGUUUUCUGUUCAAAAAGCUUUUUAAGUAUGUACCAUAUGUUCUUUCCUUUCUAUUUGCUAUCAAGCCAUUAUGUACAAAUUAACAUUUUAGGAAUUACAUAGUAGUUACCUGUGGGCCCUGAAGGUACUUGCAGCAAUUUGUUGCAAAAACAGAUACUGUCAAAUGAAAUUAUAGCCACGUGCUGUUCAUUAAAAUUGGAUGAUAAUAAGUUGACUAAAAUGUGCAUUGGGUAUGUUUGUAAACUGAUGAAUCUAUAUGGACCUGUCUCAGCAGACUAAAAGCAACACAUUUAAAAGCCAUUUAUGUUGAAUAAUUUUUUUGUUCUUAGUAAUUUUAAGGUGCCAAACUCCUAAUUUCUUAAAUCAGAUUAAUAGGAAGAGUUGCAUAUUAAAAUCAAUAUUGGGAAGGAUUUUUUUUCUUCUAUGUGGAAAUAAAAAACUUUUGAGAUUUUUUUUGAGUGUCUUAUAUUGUACCUGAGGGUAUAAUAUUUUUGAGCUGACCAAAUGUGCAUCUAAAUAUUUUAUGUAGGAUGUCAUUCUAAUGUCAAAAGAGAAGAUAUGGGCAACACCUUGAUGAUUAAGUUGCUAUUUGAAGCCAGGUUUCAUGUGUAAGUGGCCAAGCAUUGGAGAUGACCGGAUGCUGCCUGAUAGAUGUGUUCAUGUUGUCUCUAAGGGCUGGCCAGUCUCCCGUGAUGAAUGUAAAUACUGAGGAACAUUUUCAGUCUCGUCACUCCUGGGAUUUACUUAACAAGAUACUUUAGGAAGGCUUCUUAGAUGCAUAUAGGAAGUUAAACCAUUACAUAGCUUCUUUCUGUCUCUUUUGUAUAAUCAAUUUGUAGUUGGGAGCAGGAUGCAAAGUUCUUUCUUCGAGAUGAUUAAGUUUGGUCUCCUUUAUAGAUUCAGCUGUCAGCCAUGCCCUAAACUUGUGGAAGAAGUCUACUUAAAAACAGCAUGCUCUUUAUAUUUUCUCUCAAAGAGCUUAUAUUAUAGUUUUAAUUUUUCUCUCCAUUGGGGUAGUGGAGAGUGAAGAGUAGUUAUUUUAUCCCACUAAACAUAAUAGAAAGCCAAACUCUCAAGAUGUGAAGUGACUUGAUGUGAUUGCUUUAACUGGACAGAGGAACAGCUGUGUAGAAGUUGAAAUCUGAAUCUGUAGUAAUAUUUACAGAGGUGGUUGCUUUGUUUAUUGCUUCUCCCAAAUGAGAAUUAACUACGGAAAGGUAAAUAAAGGCCACUUUUAUUGGCAACUCUUUUUGUUUUCUCUACAGUGAUUCUUUGUUAAGAAACAAGCCAAAUACCAUCAGUGUUGUACUAGCAAAAGGAAUACCCAAAUUAUAGAUUAAAUUGAUUUUAAAAAGACAGGAUACUUCUGUGUAUUUGUAGUAAGUGAUUUGGCAGAUAUCCUCAAGGAUCAAGUUGAGUCUGCAUUUUUGUAUAAAUGUCAGAUUUUCUAGCAAAGAUAUUUCACAAUUAAUAGUACUAAACUUUGCUUACUAAAAGUAUUUAGGAUUCAGUGUAUUAACAAAACUCUAUAGUAGUUAAUAUAAAUAAUAUUUGUUUUUUAAAAAUUAGUCUUAAUUGCACAUUCCUGGAAAGUAUUGUGUUUUUUUAAUCUGCAAAAACAGGAUUUUAAAUAUUUUAUGUCAUAAAACUUCUGUUCAUUUUCUUUUGCUGUAUGAAAAAAAUUAAUAGGAUUGAUAGAGUCUCCAUUUUUCUUUUAUGAUUGCGUUUUAGCGGGGCCAAUUUAAUUUUAAACUGUAGAUAUAUUUUUUUACUGUAUUUGCUGCAUUCUGUGGAAUUGAAUUGACAGGGUAUAGAGUUGUACACAAGGGAGUCAGAAGGUACAAUUAGCCAUUUAAGUACAUUUUCUGCAAGAUAAUGUUUAACUUUUAAAUUUCUGUUUUGACAGUUUGCCCAGUAAGUACAUUUGUCUAUCUAAUUUAGCAGUCAAAUGACAAACUUCAAUCUUUUGACCUUACUUUCAGCCACACUAGUAAAUGCAAUCUUGGGUUAGUGUGGCAAUGCCAAUGUACACCAAUUAUUUGUGGUCACAUUGUGAUGCCUCAGUCUCAAGGGAUAGCAGAAUAAAUUUUUUUAUGUUGUAUAUUCAUAAAAAUCUUUAACUGUCCCUAAAGAGUAAUUUUUAUAUGCUUUUCAAAAAUUUUGAAAACUAGAUUCUAUAAUAUGUUUUUAUUUAAACUAUGUAAUUGGUUUACACUGUUUAUUAUUAGGAAGGUAAAGCAAUAAAACCAAAGUCAGUUAGUGGCACAGCUGAAACCUGAGCUCAGGCCCUUAUAUUCCUCAUCUAGCAACACCAGCUAUGUAUACCAUCUACCAGCUGUGUGGCUAGUGCUUUUAAUCUGCAAGUGAAUUUCCUUUAAAUACCAUCUGAGGGCCUUCGUGUAUUGUGUGGAAAGAAAGAGCCACUCUUUGCUAUCUUUGUAACUAUCCCUAGUUGUUGGGGAUCCUGCUAGAGAUAUGACUUACAUGCUGCCUAGUAAGAUUUUUUUUAAUGUCAUUUUCUUAGUGCUGUUCAUCUUCUUGUAAACACACUCACAUGCUGUUUGAAAGCCGUCGAAGAUUAGAUUUGUAGAUGAGGAAACACCCAGCACAUUGUAUGCUGCCUUUCCUGGGCCACACAGAAUCUAGUUGUCUUAACCCCCUCUCAGGUUCCUUUUGGGAUCCUAUGCUGUUUACCAUUCCUUUAAUAAUUUCUCAACUGCUCCUUUCCACACUCUCCCUACUUUAGUUAAGUUGAUGAGCCCCAAGCAAAAAGAGUUGUUGGACCCAUGUAGGAUGGAGGCAGUGUGGUGUAGGAGUAAUAUACUAGAAUAAUCACUGGGAGAUUUUGUUCCCCGACUGGAGGAGCUGGUCCCAUAGUUGUUCUGUAUCUCAGCAAAAAGAGGUCAACUGACUAGAAUGUAGUGAUCUGGAAACUAAUUGCACAUCAGUUUUUUUGGAGAGCUUUUUGCAGUAUGUCUUUUUCAAAAAUUGAGAUUAUUCUAGUGUAGCCAGUUCAUGAACCAGCUUUUGUUCUAAAUGAGGGUUUCUCGACCUUGACACAAUUGACACUUAGGGCUAAAUAAUUUGUUGCUGUGGGGACUGUCCUGUGCAGUAUCAGAUAUUGAACAGCUUCUCUGGCCUCUACUAUUGCACUUCUCUGGUUGUAACAAAAAUGUCUUUAGACAUUGCCAAAUGUCCCAUAGGGAGAAGAAUUACCCCUGGCUGAGAACUAUUGGUCUAGAUCAUUUCCAGAAUCACUUUGGAAACAUACAGUUCUGGAUUUCAGCUCUGGCUUGCUCAUUUUUUUCUAGUGAUGUGACCUUUGGCAAGUUACUUAACCAUUCUGAGCUUUUGUUUCCUAAUUAUAAAGUGUGCUGAUAAUCUCCUUUGUGCAAGUUGAUUGUGAGGCUGUGUCCAAACCACCUGGCCUGGUGCCUCCUCAGCAGUUGGUUCCUUAAGUGGUAGCCGUUAUUCUCUGAUUACAUACCACAUAUUUUCGGAAUUUGUCCUUCUUCCCAAAUUAAAUGAUCUUGUAUCUGUACUACACUUCAUCGUGUUUUGAUUUUUAGUUCUUUUCUCCAAGGUGCAUAUCCAGUGUGUGUAUUAUAAUUAGCAAACUUAAUAAGCAGCAAAGUUCUCAUUUAGAGUUUUCCUUAUGUAAUAGGUAAUAAUGGAACAGCUAGAGUCAAACUUCUAGAAUUGCUUUGCAAAAUACUGGGAGAAAGUUAAUUAUGACAUAUUUACUGAGAGGAGAUUAAAUAAAACCAGUUAAAUGAGCUGAAGUCCAAAAUGAGAUUUUAGGUAGACAUACCUAUAGGUACCAGAUAGUAAAUAUUUGGACAGCAAAACAACAAAACUGUCUUCUUUUAAGGUGGGUAGCCCAUUAGCCUUGAUAUUUUCUUUGAAAGAAAAAAAUCCCUUAUCUUGCAUCAUUUUUUUAUUUAUUUAUUAGAGAUGGGGUCUCACUCUGUUGCCCAGUUUGGAAUCCGGUGGUGCAAUCAUGGUUCAUUGCAGCCUCAACCUCCAUGGCUCAAGCAAUCCUCUCAUCUUAGCCUCCCAAGUAGCUGGGACUACAGGCACGUGCCACCACUCCUGGCUAAAUUUUUUUUUUUUUUUUUUUCUUGUAGAGAUGAGGUCUUACUAUGUUGCCCAUGCUGGUCUUGAACUCCUGGGCUUAAAUGAUCCUCCUGCCUCGGCUUCCCAAAGUGCUGGGAUUUACAGGCAUGAGCCACCUCAUCUAACCUAUCAUCUUUUAAUUCAAGUGGUUUUUGCUUUAGAUUUUGUAACUUGGGAUAUAAUCUUCAUACCAUUCCCUGUUGUUAAGUGUUUCUUCCACUCUCCGAAAAUUUUUUUGUAUUUUUCCUUUUUUAACUUUAUUUUUAGGUUAUAGAUUAAACAUAUCAUUGAUAGAGAAAGAAAAAUAUCAACUUCUGUUUUUUGCAGGGGGAGGGGUUAAGGUUAAAUUAUUUCUCUUUGACCCAUAUUCCUUAUUUAAAAUCUUAAUAGCUAUGAUCUUUUCGUACCUUUGGUAAACUCCCUGAAUCAAUUUCUGCUUUGAAAUAUUAAAAAGACCUUUUGUAUUGUUGAGUCUUUAAACUGUGCUUUUUUUUGCAUCUGCUAGUAAUAUGACAGAAUCAUCUGUUAUGUCCUAAUUUUGAGACCAGACCUAUUAUUCAGACUUGUUUAUGGCCUUAAAAUUUAAUUUUUUCUAUUAAAAGAUAAUAUGAUCACCAAGUGACUUUUCAACAGUAUAAGCUAUAGGUUGUGGUGUUCUCUGUCCUGCUUUUUUGAUGCUAUUCAGAUUGAAAAACUAAACAUUAGUGCCCCUUUUUUGUAGAAAAAUUAAUGGAACUUUAUAUAUGAAAAAUAUUUGGGAUUUUUUUCCCCAGAAAGUGAGUAAAAAAUAGUAAGUUUAUGCUUGUUUAGCAAGCUAUUUCUAAUGUUGAAAAGAAAGGAAAUAGUCUCUAAUUACCCCAUCUGUCAGUUUAAUUAGAAAUGUGUUAAUGUUUUGUAAAGAAAAAUUUGUGAUUUUUAUGCCUAGGUGAUCAAAAAUGUAUGACCUUAUAAAUAUAAUACUCAUGUAAAACACACAUCCCGCAUGUUUCUCUGACUGGUACUAGAACCUAGCCAAAUGAUUAAUUCAUGAGUACUUUCUGUUAUGAUCUGUAUUAUCCACCAUUUGCCAUUUUCUCUUUUCUUGUUGGUGUUUGUUGUCGUAGGUACCAGCAGACAGGUGUUAGGUGGCUGUGGGAAUUGCACUGCCAGCAGGCAGGAGGAAUUCUGGGAGAUGAAAUGGGAUUGGGCAAGACCAUCCAGAUAAUUGCCUUCUUGGCAGGUCUGAGCUACAGCAAGAUCAGGACUCGUGGUUCAAAUUACAGGUUUGAGGGGUUGGGUCCAACUGUAAUUGUCUGUCCAACAACAGUGAUGCAUCAGUGGGUGAAGGAAUUUCACACGUGGUGGCCUCCAUUCAGAGUGGCAAUUCUACAUGAAACCGGUUCCUAUACCCACAAAAAGGUGCAGUAAAUCCUGCCUAGGAAGCGGCUGUACUGUGUUUCCUAUGAAUGGCCUUCAUGUGCCUGUGCUUCACUCCUCUCCCCGCCGCCUGACAGUGUGAUUUAUGGCUGUUGUUUUCCACCAGUCCACUGUUUGCCCUCUAGGAGGGAUUGGUCUCUUGAGCCUCCAUAAUAACAGCAGCCCUUUCACAGACAUCUUUUAAUGACAACAGCACUGCAUUCAGAGAAACUAAUUCGAGAUGUUGCUCAUUGUCAUGGAAUUUUGAUCACAUCUUACUCCUACAUUCGAUUGAUGCAGGAUGACAUUAGCAGGUAUGACUGGCACUAUGUGAUCUUGGACGAAGGACACAAAAUUCGAAAUCCAAAUGCUGCUGUCACCCUUGCUUGCAAACAGUUUCGCACCCCUCAUCGGAUCAUUCUGUCUGGCUCACCGAUGCAAAAUAACCUCCGAGAGCUGUGGUCGCUCUUUGACUUCAUCUUCCCGGGAAAGUUAGGCACGUUGCCUGUGUUUAUGGAGCAGUUCUCCGUCCCCAUCACCAUGGGGGGAUAUUCAAAUGCUUCCCCAGUACAGGUCAAAACUGCUUACAAGUGUGCAUGUGUCUUACGAGAUACCAUAAAUCCAUACCUACUGCGGAGAAUGAAGUCAGAUGUCAAGAUGAGCCUUUCUUUGCCAGAUAAAAAUGAACAGAUUUUCUCCGGACUUAUAGCCCUAAGAAAAAUUUGCAACCACCCUGAUCUCUUUUCUGGAGGUCCCAAGAAUCUCAAAGGUCUUCCUGAUGAUGAACUAGAAGAAGAUCAGUUUGGGUACUGGAAACGUUCUGGGAAAAUGAUUGUUGUUGAAUCUUUGUUGAAAAUAUGGCACAAGCAGGGUCAGCGAGUAUUGCUGUUUUCUCAGUCAAGGCAGAUGCUGGACAUACUUGAAGUAUUCCUUAGAGCCCAAAAGUAUACCUAUCUCAAGAUGGAUGGUACCACUACAAUAGCUUCAAGACAGCCACUGAUUACAAGAUACAAUGAGGACACAUCCAUAUUUGUGUUUCUUUUGACCACGCGGGUGGGCGGCUUAGGUGUCAACCUGACGGGGGCAAACAGAGUUGUCAUCUAUGACCCAGACUGGAACCCAAGCACGGACACGCAGGCCCGGGAGCGAGCAUGGAGAAUAGGCCAGAAGAAGCAAGUGACUGUGUACAGGCUCCUGACUGCGGGCACCAUUGAAGAAAAGAUCUACCACCGACAAAUCUUCAAGCAGUUUUUGACAAAUAGAGUGCUAAAAGACCCAAAACAAAGGCGGUUUUUCAAAUCCAAUGAUCUCUAUGAGCUAUUUACUCUGACUAGUCCUGAUGCAUCCCAGAGCACUGAAACAAGUGCAAUUUUUGCAGGAACUGGAUCAGAUGUUCAGACACCCAAAUGCCAUCUAAAAAGAAGGAUUCAACCAGCCUUUGGAGCAGACCAUGAUGUUCCAAAACGCAAGAAGUUCCCUGCUUCUAACAUGUCUGUAAAUGAUGCCACAUCAUCUGAAGAGAAAUCUGAGGCUAAAGGAGCUGAAGUAAAUGCAGUAACUUCUAAUCGAAGUGAUCCUUUGAAAGAUGACCCUCACAUGAGUAGUAAUGUAACUAGCAAUGAUAGGCUUGGAGAAGAGACAAAUGCAGUAUCUGGACCAGAAGAGUUGUCAGUGAUUAGUGGAAAUGGGGAAUGUUCAAAUUCUUCAGGAACAGGCAAAACUUCUAGGCCAUCUGGUGAUGAAAGCAUUGAUGAAAAGUUAGGUCUUUCUUACAAAAGAGAAGGACCCAGCCAGGCUCAAACAGAAGCUUUUUGGGAGAAUAAACAAAUGGAAAAUAAUUUUUAUAAGCACAAGUCAAAAACAAAACAUCAUAGUGUGGCAGAAGAAGAGACCCUGGAGAAACAUCUGAGACCAAAGCAAAAGCCUAAGAACUCUAAGCAUUGCAGAGACGCCAAGUUUGAAGGAACUCGAAUUCCACACCUGGUGAAGAAAAGGCGUUACCAGAAGCAAGACAGUGAAAACAAGAGUGAGGCCAAGGAACAGAGCAAUGACGAUUAUGUUUUGGAAAAGCUUUUCAAAAAAUCAGUUGGCGUGCACAGUGUCAUGAAGCACGAUGCCAUCAUGGAUGGAGCCAGCCCAGAUUAUGUACUGGUGGAGGCAGAAGCCAACCGAGUGGCCCAGGAUGCCCUGAAAGCACUGAGGCUCUCUCGUCAGCGGUGUCUGGGAGCAGUGUCUGGUGUUCCCACCUGGACUGGCCACAGGGGGAUUUCUGGUGCACCAGCAGGAAAAAAGAGUAGAUUUGGUAAGAAAAGGAAUUCUAACUUCUCUGUGCAGCAUCCUUCAUCAACAUCUCCAACAGAGAAGUGCCAGGAUGGCAUCAUGAAAAAGGAGGGAAAAGAUAAUGUCCCUGAGCAUUUUAGUGGAAGAGCAGAAGAUGCAGACUCUUCAUCCGGGGCCCUCGCUUCCUCCUCACUCUUGGCUAAAAUGAGAGCUAGAAACCACCUGAUUCUGCCAGAGCGUUUAGAAAGUGAAAGCGGGCACCUGCAGGAAGCUUCUGCCCUGCUGCCCACCACAGAACACGAUGACCUUCUGGUGGAGAUGAGAAACUUCAUCGCUUUCCAGGCCCACACUGAUGGCCAGGCCAGCACCAGGGAGAUACUGCAGGAGUUUGAAUCCAAGUUAUCUGCAUCACAGUCUUGUGUCUUCCGAGAACUAUUGAGAAAUCUGUGCACUUUCCAUAGAACUUCUGGUGGUGAAGGAAUUUGGAAACUCAAGCCAGAAUACUGCUAAACAACAUUGCUUCCUAAACUUUCAAGUCCCUUUUUCUAACGGGCAUUUCUGAUUAUUAAUUUAUUAUUAAUAAUCAUGUUUGUCAAUGGAAGUUGGCUGCACUUGAUGUUUGUUUGCAUGACGUCUACCUCAGAAUUAAAACUUUAAGGAAGAAGAAACUCUUCUCUGAAAGUUUAAAGUUUUAAUAAUGCUAGCUAAAGGAGAAAAUACUUGGAUUGAUUUUUUUUUUUUUGGCAAUCUAAUUAUAUUGUAAAAUCAGGUACCUAACAGUUACUCCUUGGAGCACAUUUGUUCCUUUACCCAAAAGAUGCUGUCAGGGAGCACAGUUAGAAGUUUGCAGAACAGAAAUCUCAAUAAUUUUUUUUAUUGGUGCUAAAAACAGGUCUUACAUUCAGUCAGACCUGUUCAAUAAGUUCAUCAAUAUCUGAUAACAGCAUUAUUUUGAUACUUAAACUUUAAACAUUUAUAUUUACCAUUUGCCACCCACAAAGGUCAGGUUUGUUAUUUGUUGUUUGAUAAUUAUAUUAAUUUUCUUGGAAAGAUCCUCUUUUCAAGGUACUGGUAAAUUGGUGAGUAUUUUUAUUAGUAAAGCAUGAAAUAGUAUGGUAAUAAAUGAUAAGACAUGUAUUUGUGGAAAGCUGUAGGGUAUUCAGUUUACCCUGGCUUUCCUUUAAGCAGAGGGCAUCUUUUUCUCUCCUACAGUCACAAAAUGUGUUAUCAUUAAAAAAAAUCAAAUUAAAGCCAAAAGUAGGUACAUAAAAACCACACACAUUCAUGCACGCAAACAUCACUGCAGCCCACAGCAGACCCAGCCGUCGUUACCAUGAAGUGACACCACUCCAGGCCUCUCUUGUCUGCAGGCUGGCAGGCUAUCUUCUCUCCAGUUGCCUUUGUCUUGCGCCUGCCUUUGCAUUCCUUGCGACGGGCUUUCCUGUUUCUGCGGUUUGGAUUCCAACCAAGGCUGUUUGUAUCUCACUACUGUUUAUGUGUUUGUGGUUCUGUGAUGGUGUUGCUUUGAUCCUCAGUUUCUUUUCUUAUUGAUGUUUUUCUUGUUUCCUUCUCAGGAUGAUUUUAUCAUCUCAUCUUUGAAGUGUUGUUUUCUGAAAUUCAUCGUAUUCCUGAAAUUUCUUCUUAGCUAUCUUAGUGCAGUUUGUUUCUUGGAUUUGUAUUCUCUGGCCUGCUCUUUUCCUCUCUCUCAUUUUUCUGUAGUAUGCCUGCCCUCCUACCCUGCUAUUUCUUUACAUCUCUCUCAUGCUUAACAUGGAUAGCUGUGUCCAGAUCUUCUGUCUGCUCAUCCAUGUGACUCAGAGAGGAGGGUUCUGGGCAGGGGGACCUUGCCGGACUGCAUGAGAGGACAUGAGUUUUGCUUUCUCUGCUCUAAUAUUUUGCUUAAGCCAAGAAUCCUUUUCUUAGUAAAUGUUCUAUAUGAUUCCCGUCAGGAUUUUCUAGUUUUUUUUGGAUUAUAGCUUGUUCAUUUCUUUUGUUUUUAGUUUGGUUUAUAUAUAAUGAGGGAAGAAGAUGAUUACAUUAUUUUUGUCACUUUGCCAUCAUUGUUUAGAAGUCAUAGAAAGAAUUUUUAAAUAGGCCAAUAAGUCUUAAACUUGAGUACUUGGCUUAGAAGAAAGUCAAAACUCCUUCCUUUUUGACUAAGUGGUUUGUUUCUGGGGAGCUCUUAAUUUCUAUUUUUAUAAUCAUUAGCCUAUAAGGAAAUUGUGUCUUCCUUGUUCUCAGGGUGAUCUGCUGACCUUGUUCACUCAUGAAGCAUUUGGGUAUCAUACUUAUAGUGUCUGAAACAUAAACUGUAUUGAGCUAGACAAGGUAUAGCCUUCUCUUCAAGUAGCAAAUACUAUCAAAAGCUAUAAUGCAGUAGGAGCAAGGUGGUCCUUGUUCCAGUUUUUGUCUCAGUUCUGCUGCUGAUGUACCAUGAUCUUGGGAAGGUGGUGUCUCAGUGUGGAGAUAUGACACAUUGUUACCGUGCCUCCUGGCUGGAGGGACUUGGAGAACAAUGCAGUUAAGUAGAGUGGUUUUAACAAUACAGAGAAAUUUAUUCAUUUAGAUAAAAAUCUGAUUUUUAGAACUUUAAAAGCUUUGUACAGUGUAAAUAGAUUUAAUGUAUUUAACAUGCUUUAUCAGCACAAAUAAAGGAUUUUAAAAUUUUGUCA
rnacentral:sRNA from 1 species